GACGAACGCUGGCGGCGUGCUUAACACAUGCAAGUCGUACGGUAAGGCCCUUUCGGGGGUACCCGAGUGGCGAACGGGUGCGUAACACGUGAGUAACCUGCCCACAACUUUGGGAUAACGCUAGGAAACUGGUGCUAAUACUGGAUAUGUGCUCCUGCUGCAUGGUGGGGGUUGGAAAGCUCCGGCGGUUGUGGAUGGACUCGCGGCCUAUCAGCUUGUUGGUGGGGUAGUGGCCUACCAAGGCGGCGACGGGUAGCCGGCCUGAGAGGGUGACCGGCCACAUUGGGACUGAGAUACGGCCCAGACUCCUACGGGAGGCAGCAGUGGGGAAUAUUGCACAAGGGGCGCAAGCCUGAUGCAGCAACGCCGCGUGCGGGAUGACGGCCUUCGGGUUGGAAACCGCUUUCAGCAGGGACGAAGCUUUUUGUGACGGUACCUGCAGAAGAAGCACCGGCUAACUACGUG
rnacentral:rRNA from 1 species